rnacentral:rRNA from 1 species
UUAAGCGACUAAGCGUACACGGUGGAUGCCCUGGCAGUCAGAGGCGAUGAAGGACGUGCUAAUCUGCGAUAAGCGUCGGUAAGGUGAUAUGAACCGUUAUAACCGGCGAUUUCCGAAUGGGGAAACCCAGUGUGAUUCGUCACACUAUCAUUAACUGAAUCCAUAGGUUAAUGAGGCGAACCGGGGGAACUGAAACAUCUAAGUACCCCGAGGAAAAGAAAUCAACCGAGAUUCCCCCAGUAGCGGCGAGCGAACGGGGAGCAGCCCAGAGCCUGAAUCAGUGUGUGUGUUAGUGGAAGCGUCUGGAAAGGCGCGCGAUACAGGGUGACAGCCCCGUACACAAAAAUGCACAUGCUGUGAGCUCGAUGAGUAGGGCGGGACACGUGGUAUCCUGUCUGAAUAUGGGGGGACCAUCCUCCAAGGCUAAAUACUCCUGACUGACCGAUAGUGAACCAGUACCGUGAGGGAAAGGCGAAAAGAACCCCGGCGAGGGGAGUGAAAAAGAACCUGAAACCGUGUACGUACAAGCAGUGGGAGCACAGAGCAAUCUGUGUGACUGCGUACCUUUUGUAUAAUGGGUCAGCGACUUAUAUUCUGUAGCAAGGUUAACCGAAUAGGGGAGCCGAAGGGAAACCGAGUCUUAACUGGGCGUUAAGUUGCAGGGUAUAGACCCGAAACCCGGUGAUCUAGCCAUGGGCAGGUUGAAGGUUGGGUAACACUAACUGGAGGACCGAACCGACUAAUGUUGAAAAAUUAGCGGAUGACUUGUGGCUGGGGGUGAAAGGCCAAUCAAACCGGGAGAUAGCUGGUUCUCCCCGAAAGCUAUUUAGGUAGCGCCUCGUGAAUUCAUCUCCGGGGGUAGAGCACUGUUUCGGCAAGGGGGUCAUCCCGACUUACCAACCCGAUGCAAACUACGAAUACCGGAGAAUGUUAUCACGGGAGACACACGGCGGGUGCUAACGUCCGUCGUGAAGAGGGAAACAACCCAGACCGCCAGCUAAGGUCCCAAAGUCAUGGUUAAGUGGGAAACGAUGUGGGAAGGCCCAGACAGCCAGGAUGUUGGCUUAGAAGCAGCCAUCAUUUAAAGAAAGCGUAAUAGCUCACUGGUCGAGUCGGCCUGCGCGGAAGAUGUAACGGGGCUAAACCAUGCACCGAAGCUGCGGCAGCGACGCUGAUGCGUUGUUGGGUAGGGGAGCGUUCUGUAAGCCUGCGAAGGUGUGCUGUGAGGCAUGCUGGAGGUAUCAGAAGUGCGAAUGCUGACAUAAGUAACGAUAAAGCGGGUGAAAAGCCCGCUCGCCGGAAGACCAAGGGUUCCUGUCCAACGUUAAUCGGGGCAGGGUGAGUCGACCCCUAAGGCGAGGCCGAAAGGCGUAGUCGAUGGGAAACAGGUUAAUAUUCCUGUACUUGGUGUUACUGCGAAGGGGGGACGGAGAAGGCUAUGUUGGCCGGGCGACGGUUGUCCCGGUUUAAGCGUGUAGGCUGGUUUUCCAGGCAAAUCCGGAAAAUCAAGGCUGAGGCGUGAUGACGAGGCACUACGGUGCUGAAGCAACAAAUGCCCUGCUUCCAGGAAAAGCCUCUAAGCAUCAGGUAACAUCAAAUCGUACCCCAAACCGACACAGGUGGUCAGGUAGAGAAUACCAAGGCGCUUGAGAGAACUCGGGUGAAGGAACUAGGCAAAAUGGUGCCGUAACUUCGGGAGAAGGCACGCUGAUAUGUAGGUGAAGUCCCUCGCGGAUGGAGCUGAAAUCAGUCGAAGAUACCAGCUGGCUGCAACUGUUUAUUAAAAACACAGCACUGUGCAAACACGAAAGUGGACGUAUACGGUGUGACGCCUGCCCGGUGCCGGAAGGUUAAUUGAUGGGGUUAGCGCAAGCGAAGCUCUUGAUCGAAGCCCCGGUAAACGGCGGCCGUAACUAUAACGGUCCUAAGGUAGCGAAAUUCCUUGUCGGGUAAGUUCCGACCUGCACGAAUGGCGUAAUGAUGGCCAGGCUGUCUCCACCCGAGACUCAGUGAAAUUGAACUCGCUGUGAAGAUGCAGUGUACCCGCGGCAAGACGGAAAGACCCCGUGAACCUUUACUAUAGCUUGACACUGAACAUUGAGCCUUGAUGUGUAGGAUAGGUGGGAGGCUUUGAAGUGUGGACGCCAGUCUGCAUGGAGCCGACCUUGAAAUACCACCCUUUAAUGUUUGAUGUUCUAACGUGGACCCGUAAUCCGGGUUGCGGACAGUGUCUGGUGGGUAGUUUGACUGGGGCGGUCUCCUCCUAAAGAGUAACGGAGGAGCACGAAGGUUGGCUAAUCCUGGUCGGACAUCAGGAGGUUAGUGCAAUGGCAUAAGCCAGCUUGACUGCGAGCGUGACGGCGCGAGCAGGUGCGAAAGCAGGUCAUAGUGAUCCGGUGGUUCUGAAUGGAAGGGCCAUCGCUCAACGGAUAAAAGGUACUCCGGGGAUAACAGGCUGAUACCGCCCAAGAGUUCAUAUCGACGGCGGUGUUUGGCACCUCGAUGUCGGCUCAUCACAUCCUGGGGCUGAAGUAGGUCCCAAGGGUAUGGCUGUUCGCCAUUUAAAGUGGUACGCGAGCUGGGUUUAGAACGUCGUGAGACAGUUCGGUCCCUAUCUGCCGUGGGCGCUGGAGAAUUGAGGGGGGCUGCUCCUAGUACGAGAGGACCGGAGUGGACGCAUCACUGGUGUUCGGGUUGUCAUGCCAAUGGCACUGCCCGGUAGCUAAAUGCGGAAGAGAUAAGUGCUGAAAGCAUCUAAGCACGAAACUUGCCCCGAGAUGAGUUCUCCCUGACUCCUUGAGAGUCCUGAAGGAACGUUGAAGACGACGACGUUGAUAGGCCGGGUGUGUAAGCGCAGCGAUGCGUUGAGCUAACCGGUACUAAUGAACCGUGAGGCUUAACCUU